AUCUCCCUGCUGCGUUCGCGAGGUCCGUAAAUUCUUUGAACCGAUAAGCUUUUGCUUAAGGUCGCGGUAGUCGGAUCGCCGGUGUGCGCGUGGCAUUGCGUCCAUGUACCCGAGGCGAUCGUGCCCUGGCCGAACUUGGAUCCACUGGGUUCAAGAUAGCGGUCCGGACGGCGUAAGCGGGGAGACC
rnacentral:other from 1 species